rnacentral:rRNA from 1 species
GAAUACCCUCGGGGGUAGAGCACUGGAUGGGCUAUGGGGACUCACCGUCUUACUGAUCCUAACCAAACUCCGAAUACCGAGGAGUACUAGUCGGCAGACACACGGCGGGUGCUAACGUCCGUCGUGAAAAGGGCAACAACCCUGACCUCCAGCUAAGGUCCCCAAGUCAUGGCUAAGUGGGAAAGGAUGUGAGGAUCCCAAAACAACCAGGAUGUUGGCUUAGAAGCAGCCAUCAUUUAAAGAAAGCGUAACAGCUCACUGGUCUAAAUAAGGGUCUUUGCGCCGAAAAUGUAACGGGGCUGAAGCCAUGCACCGAAGCUGAGGCUUACGAUCUUCCUCGGAAGACGUAGGGGUAGCGGAGCGUUCCGUAAGCCAGUGAAGGGAUACCCGUGAGGGGUCCUGGAGGUAUCGGAAGUGCGAAUGUUGACAUGAGUAACGAUAAAGAGGGUGAGAGACCCUCUCGCCGAAAGACCAAGGGUUCCUGCUUAAAGUUAAUCUGAGCAGGGUUAGCCGGCCCCUAAGACGAGGCGGACACGCGUAGUCGAUGGGAACCACGUUAAUAUUCGUGGGCCUGGUGGUAGUGACGGAUUGCUCAACUUGUCCGGACUUAUUGGAUUGUCCGGGCGGGGACGCGGUUCCAGGAAAUAGCUCCACCGUAUAGACCGUACCCGAAACCGACACAGGUGGUCAGGUAGAGUAUACCAAGGCGCUUGAGAGAACUAUGUUGAAGGAACUCGGCAAAUUGCACGCGUAACUUCGGAAGAAGCGUGACCCUUUUCUACGCAAGUAGGAUGGGGUGGCACAGACCAGGGGGUAGCGACUGUUUAUCAAAAACACAGGGCUCUGCGAAGUCGCAAGACGACGUAUAGGGUCUGACGCCUGCCCGGUGCUGGAAGGUUAAGAGGAGGGGUGCAAGCUCUGAAUCGAAGCCCCAGUAAACGGCGGCCGUAACUAUAACGGUCCUAAGGUAGCGAAAUUCCUUGUCGGGUAAGUUCCGACCUGCACGAAUGGCGUAACGACUUCCCCGCUGUCUCCAACAUAGACUCAGUGAAAUUGAAUUCCCCGUGAAGAUGCGGGGUUCCUGCGGUCAGACGGAAAGACCCCGUGCACCUUUACUAUAGCUUUACACUGGCAUUCGUGUCGGCAUGUGUAGGAUAGGUGGUAGGCUUUGAAGCGGGGACGCCAGUUCUCGUGGAGCCAUCCUUGAAAUACCACCCUUAUCGUCAUGGAUGUCUAACCGCGGUCCGUCAUCCGGAUCCGGGACAGUGUAUGGUGGGUAGUUUGACUGGGGCGGUCGCCUCCGAAAGAGUAACGGAGGCGCGCGAUGGUGGGCUCAGAGCGGUCGGAAAUCGCUCGUCGAGUGCAAUGGCAUAAGCCCGCCUGACUGCGAGACUGACAAGUCGAGCAGAGACGAAAGUCGGUCAUAGUGAUCCGGUGGUCCCGCGUGGAAGGGCCAUCGCUCAACGGAUAAAAGGUACGCCGGGGAUAACAGGCUGAUGACCCCCAAGAGUCCAUAUCGACGGGGUUGUUUGGCACCUCGAUGUCGGCUCAUCGCAUCCUGGGGCUGGAGCAGGUCCCAAGGGUUUGGCUGUUCGCCAAUUAAAGCGGUACGUGAGCUGGGUUCAGAACGUCGUGAGACAGUUCGGUCCCUAUCUGCCGUGGGUGUAGGAAUAUUGACAGGAUCUGUCCCUAGUACGAGAGGACCGGGAUGGACAUAUCUCUGGUGGACCUGUUGUCCUGCCAAGGGCAUAGCAGGGUAGCUAUAUAUGGAAGGGAUAACCGCUGAAGGCAUCUAAGCGGGAAACCCACCUGAAAACGAGUAUUCCCUUGAGAACCGUGGAAGACGACCACGUUGAUAGGCCGGGUGUGGAAGUGCGGCAACGCAUGAAGCUUACCGGUACUAAUCGUUCGAUUGGCUUGAUCGUUCCCAUU